CUUCCCUGUAACUACGUGUUCUCUCUGUUCAGCUCCCACUCACGAGUGAGAACAAGUGGUGUUUGGUUUCCUGUUCCUGGGUUAGUUUGCUGAGGAUAAUGGCUUCCAGCUCCAUCCAUGUCCCUGCAAAGGACAUGAUCUCGUUUAAUUAACUUUUUUUCAAAAGAGUGUUUCCAGGGUUACAGUUAACAGUAAAAUUGGAGGCAGGGCCCAGUCUUUUCACUCCUUUCCAAUAUUAUGUCUUUUAUCCAAUCAUAUGCCUCUUAUUAGAAAAUCACAAUACAACAAAGGUCAAAUCCUCCUAGGAAAUGCUAUCAACACACUUUGGGGACAGUAAUGAUAAAAGCUUCAUGGACCCACAUUUAACAACAAAGCUUAUGUGAUAACUGUAGCAAAAGAAUGGGAGUAAGACUGAACACUUCUGAAUCCUCUUGUUCUUGAAUACCUUCAAGCCAGGUCCUCUCUGUAAGUUUGUAUUUCACCUCCAGUGAUUCUGAGUAGGCACAACUCUUCUCCCCAUCACACAGACAUCAAACUCCAGGCACCUAGAGAAGUAGCUUGCCCCAAAUUGCCCGAUGAGGAAGUGGGUGUGUGUGAGAAUCCAGGGUUUGGGCUAGUCUGGGCUCUUCCCCCAAGUUUUUCUUAAGGAGCAGUCCCUCGGCAUGAGACUCAUCUGGGGGAUAUGGUAAACUUCAUAUUCCUGGGCCCCCAAGUCCUACAGGAUGUCAGGGUCCAGAGGCAUGAGACCGAGGGCCAGGCUUCUGGCCUCUGUAACGUGCUCCCCGGGUAGGGUUACCAGUGGCAAUACAGGAUGCUUAGCUGAAUCAGGCAACCCUAUCCCCAGAGGACUAGCCUACCCCCAGAAGUUUGAAAAUCUGUUUUCUCCCUCUCCAUGUGAACAAACGAGCAUUCCAUCAUUGUUCAUUUUCUAUUCUCCCUCACCCCUUCUGCCUCCCCACUCUCACCCUGGAGCAGAGACUUUAAUGUCAUCUACCAGGAUUUCUCACACAGGGAAUCCCGGGCAAGGCCAGGAAGAUGGUUGGAUGGGGUCACUCAGCCCAACCCACCUCCAAGAGUCGAUGAGAUACCAUAAGCAAAUAAAUUCACGAGAGGUUGGCUGAAUCCAUCCUAGUGUUGCG
rnacentral:lncRNA from 10 species